rnacentral:RNase_P_RNA from 1 species
ACCCUAUGGAAAGUGCCACAGAAACAUACCGCCCCGAUUUAAACGGAGCAAGGGUGAAAUGGUGAGGUAAGAGCUCACCAGCGGCUGGGUGACCAGCUGGCUGGGUAAACCCCAUCUGGAGCAAGACCAAAUAGAGGGAUAAAAGGACGCCCGGCCUGUCCCUGGGUUGGUCGCUUGACCCUGAUGGUAACAUCAGGGCUAGAUAGAUGGUCACCGCUCCGACCAGAGCACCCAGAAAAAUCUAUGAUUUUCCUGGGAACCUGCGACUUGGAGUACAGAACUCGGCUUAUAGGUUUACUUGACCU